rnacentral:tRNA from 1 species
GCCUGGCUGGCUCAGUUGGUAGAGCAGGAGACUCUCAAUCUCCAGUCGUGAGCUCAAGCCCCACAUUGGUCA